UUAAGACUAAGGCGCUUGAGAGAACUCUGGUGAAGGAACUAGGCAAAAUAGUACCGUAACUUCGGGAGAAGGUACGCUGUUGAUGGUGAAGGAUUUACUCCGUAAGCUAUCGGCAGCCUCAGAAACUAGGCCGCUGCAACUGUUUAUUAAAAACACAGCACUCUGCAAACACGAAAGUGGACGUAUAGGGUGUGAUGCCUGCCCGGUGCUGGAAGGUUAAUUGAUGGGGUUAGCGAAAGCGAAGCUCUUGAUCGAAGCCCCAGUAAACGGCGGCCGUAACUAUAACGGUCCUAAGGUAGCGAAAUUCCUUGUCGGGUAAGUUCCGACCUGCACGAAUGGCAUAAUGAUGGCGGCGCUGUCUCCACCAGAGACUCAGUGAAAUCGAAAUCGCGGUGAAGAUGCCGUGUACCCGCGGCUAGACGGAAAGACCCCGUGAACCUUUACUGCAGCUUUGCACUGAACUUUGACCUUACUUGUGUAGGAUAGGUGGGAGGCUUUGAAGCUCGGACGCUAGUUCGAGUGGAGCCAUCCUUGAAAUACCACCCUGGUAAUGUCGAGGUUCUAACCCAGAUCCGUUAUCCGGAUCGGGGACAGUGUAUGGUGGGUAGUUUGACUGGGGCGGUCUCCUCCUAAAGAGUAACGGAGGAGUACGAAGGUGCGCUCAGCGUGGUCGGAAAUCACGCAAUGAGUAUAAAGGCAAAAGCGCGCUUAACUGCGAGACCGACAAGUCGAGCAGGUACGAAAGUAGGUCUUAGUGAUCCGGUGGUUCUGUAUGGAAGGGCCAUCGCUCAACGGAUAAAAGGUACUCUGGGGAUAACAGGCUGAUACCGCCCAAGAGUUCAUAUCGACGGCGGUGUUUGGCACCUCGAUGUCGGCUCAUCUCAUCCUGGGGCUGAAGCAGGUCCCAAGGGUAUGGCUGUUCGCCAUUUAAAGAGGUACGCGAGCUGGGUUUAGAACGUCGUGAGACAGUUCGGUCCCUAUCUACCGUGGGCGUUGGAGACUUGAGAGGAUCUGCUUCUAGUACGAGAGGACCGAAGUGGACGUACCUCUGGUGUUCGGGUUGUCACGCCAGUGGCACUGCCCGGUAGCUAUGUACGGACGGGAUAACCGCUGAAAGCAUCUAAGCGGGAAGCCCACCUUAAGAUAAGGUCUCCCUGGGGGUUUAACCCCCCUAAAGAGCCGUUAGAGACCAUGACGUUGAUAGGUUCGGUGUGAAGUGCGGUGACGCAUGAAGCUAACGAAUACUAAUUGCUCGUGAGGCUUGACUG
rnacentral:rRNA from 1 species